GGGAAACUUCGGGGCUGUGGGCUGAGGAGAGCGCACCGACUGGCUCUGUCAGCCCGCACUGAGGAAGGGGCUUCCAGCUGGGAUCCAUAUGUGAUGAGGCGAACGAAAGCAGCCACCUUGGAGCCAAAAAUACACUUAAGGUGAAGUCUGAUUCAUUCCUAAUCACAGAACUGCAGCCUUCCAGGGCUCCAAAGUGCAUAACAGGAACUUAAUGCUUCAGUACAGAAACAAACAAAAGAAGAAACGAAUGCUCGUCCCCUGUGACUCCUCCUCCUCCAUUAUGCAGUCAGGAAAUAAUAUGGUGGGUAUCCAGAGGGCGGGACAAAUCUGAAGAACUAUUUCCAGCUGUUAAAAAACACACAGUAACAUGGAGUCCAUGCUCUGCAGUCUUCACACGAAUGAGAUGUGACUUUUGUAAAGAAUACUCAUUUUAGCCCAAUGGCCAGCUUUUCUUCUAGAGCAAAACCAAAGAUACUUAAGCAUGUAACCAAUGGGGAACUUUUGUCUUUAUCCUAG